CAGCCGCCACGGGAAAACGAAGGGUGCUAGCGUUGCUCGGAAUUACUGGGCGUAAAGGGAGCGUAGGCGGAUCGUUAAGUUGGGGGUGAAAGCCCGGGGCUCAACCUCGGAAUUGCCUUCAAUACUGGCGAUCUUGAGUAUGGAAGAGGUAUGUGGAACUCCGAGUGUAGAGGUGAAAUUCGUAGAUAUUCGGAAGAACACCAGUGGCGAAGGCGACAUACUGGUCCAUUACUGACGCUGAGGCUCGAAAGCGUGGGGAGCAAACAGGAUUAGAUACCCCUGUAGUCCCUGUCUCUUAUAC
rnacentral:rRNA from 1 species